GAUGAAGAACGCAGUGAAAUGCGAUAAGUAGUGUGAAUUGCAGAAUUCAGUGAAUCAUCGAAUCUUUGAACGCACAUUGCGCCCUUUGGUAUUCCAAAGGGCAUGCCUGUUCGAGCGUCAUUUGUACCCUCAAGCUUUGCUUGGUGUUGGGCGUCUUGUCUCUAGCUUUGCUGGAGACUCGCCUUAAAGUAAUUGGCAGCCGGCCUACUGGUUUCGGAGCGCAGCACAAGUCGCACUCUCUAUCAGCAAAGGUCUAGCAUCCAUUAAGCCUUUUUUUCAACUUUUGACCUCGGAUCAGGUAGGGAUACCCGCUGAACUUAAGCAUAUCAAUAACGGAGGA
rnacentral:misc_RNA from 1 species